CUGGCCUCUGAGAACCUCCUAGCACCCCAGAACUCCCAGACAGAAUGUUAGGUAAUGCCAAUGAGCACAGAUCAAUCAUCUGCACAAUCUGAAGACGGAGCACUUUCCAUGGAGUGCUGAUGAAGUGCCAGGGUCCUAGGCUCCUUCUGGUGUGCCACCCCUCGGACAAGUCUCUCAGCCUCAAGGUCCAGGAUGGCAACAUCUGUCCAAACAGCAAGAUGGAGAACAGGACAGGAUAGGAACGAAGUAGGAGAGGGGCCAAGGACUCAUGCUGGCAUCCCGCCAGCCUUUUGACACGAGUCACCCUUCCGCCACUUUAUAAAAAAAGGUAGGCCUCUUAUCAGUGGUAGGCAAUAGCAGGGUAGUGAAAACCGUUUCCCCACCACCGCCAAGGCAGGGAAUAGAGGCUGCAUUGUCCUUAGAGAAUUGUAAAUGAGUAAGCAACCGAAAGUUCUUUGUUAUCCCCUGGGCCAGCAAUCCUAAACAAUGUCAGUGAUAAAACAUUCCUCCCUGAAAAAGUAUUUUAUUGGUCUAAGUUCUAAAUCUAAAUAAAUGCUGUCAUUACCACUGAGUUUUAAUUAUAUGUGAACUUCGGCCGGGCACAGUGGCUCACGCCUGUAAUCCCAGCACUUUGGGAGGCCAAGGCAGGUGGAUCACCCGAGGUUAAGAGUUCGAGACCAGCCUGGCCAACAUGGUGAAACCCCAUCUCUACUAAAAAUACAAAAAUUAGCCAGGCAUGGUAGUGCACGCCUGUAAUCUCAGCUACUCAGGAGGCUGAGGCAGGAGAAUCAC
rnacentral:lncRNA from 10 species